rnacentral:sRNA from 1 species
UGUACUCGCAAGAAUGUGAUUGUCCAUAUGCAUAACAAGCAUACGACUUAGUUACAUUGGCAAGGGAUAAGGGAAGUAUUAAAAAGGGUGUCUUUUCCUUUCAGUGCAAGGAAAAUUCUACUCGUUAAUAAUUAAGAUGUGCGAAAGGAAACGGUAAAAGAGUAUUCACACAAAUAAAAAUUAAAUUUAGGCUAUAAUGUAAAAUAAUUUGGUGCUUCAUCUUAGCAAAAUGGUCUCCUUAGUGCGUCAGUUUUAAAAGAAUAACUUACGUUAUAACUGCUAUACAAAAUCCAAUGUGAAGGGUGGAAUAAAAGCAGGCGGCGAUAAAAAUUGAAGUGAUAAGUUAAACCUGUGAAAAAUGUGUGGUAGCAUUAAUUAUACUGCUAUGUUGUACGACGUCAGUGGAAAAAUUUAUCAAAGAUAACUUUUCACAUCUUUUUAUUUACUGAAGAUUGUAUAACAAAAAGAACUUGCCGUUACACAUACAUAUACCAUUUACAUGUUAACAUAAAUCCAAGCAAAAGCCCUCGGUAAUUUACCAACUAACUUAUAUGAGACAAUACAAUAUCGACAAAUAAAAUAAAAGAGCAAAUGCGAAAAAUCAUAAUGAAAUAAACGAAAUAAAUUAAAAUGAGGAAACGUUAUAAAAACAUCGGCUAACUAACACCUACAUACUGCUACGUUACACACACCAGCCAGCCCAGCAUCCAGAAUACUUACACUGUCCAAAGUUCCGCGCACGCAUAAGCAUACACAUACAGAUACAUCCACUGCCUCCUUCAACCUCAAAACACCCAUAAAUAUUUGCACAUCAACCGAAAUAAUAACAGGAGCAAAAACUGUAUAACCAAAAGAACGAAAAAAAUGUAUCACAUGUGGCGAGUGAGAACUCUUAACGUUGCAUGAAUGAACCAUACAUGAACGAACAAAAAGAAACCCCACUAUUUUCGAAUGUUUAUCGCAAAAUAAACAUUCCAGUGUAUGUCAAAGUAAAGUCAACAAAAGUAAUUGGUGUACCCCACAUAGAAACCACUACGACAUCCACUACACCAACGAUUAAAGUUCCAACUAAACGCCUAAGCAACAAACAAAGAGGUUUUGUUUUCCAAGUCUUCCAGAUUGUCAGAAAGUCUUGUUAACCAAUGAAGAUACAUAGGAAGUGCCAACAUCAUCGUAUUCAAUAUUUAUUACCUCACUCAACGUCAGUGAUCAAUUAUUUCUCGCAGAGAUAUUAAUGCGAGUUUUUAAGAUAUUUGGACGAUCAACCUGUAUCAAAUGGCAGACCCUUUCUGUUGAGACAUGUCGUAAUGGCAAGAGAGGAGUCUCGAGGCAAGAGACCUCUCAAAAUUUGGGAUAGUUGGCGGAAUGUACGGAAAGGUGUAGUUGUUGGAACGUUUGAAGAAUUAUUAGUAAGAGGUAAGGACAAAUUGGGAGUACCUGCUUCUGAGCCAGUCCGGCUUGUUCUCGAGAGCGAUGGAACUCAAAUUGAGGAUGGAGAAUAUUUUCGGACUCUUGCAAACAACACGGUUCUAUUGCUAUUAAGACAGGGAGAAAGAUGGUACCCUACCGGCGUUGAUGUUAUAA